UACGAAGGGGGCUAGCGUUGCUCGGAAUCACUGGGCGUAAAGCGCACGUAGGCGGGUCCUUAAGUCAGGGGUGAAAUCCUGGAGCUCAACUCCAGAACUGCCUUUGAUACUGAGGAUCUCGAGUCCGGGAGAGGUGAGUGGAACUCCGAGUGUAGAGGUGAAAUUCGUAGAUAUUCGGAAGAACACCAGUGGCGAAGGCGGCUCACUGGCCCGGUACUGACGCUGAGGUGCGAAAGCGUGGGGAGCAAACAGG
rnacentral:rRNA from 1 species